AGUGAACGCUGGCGGUAGGCCUAACACAUGCAAGUCGAACGGCAGCACAGAGGAGCUUGCUCCUUGGGUGGCGAGUGGCGGACGGGUGAGGAAUACAUCGGAAUCUACUCUGUCGUGGGGGAUAACGUAGGGAAACUUACGCUAAUACCGCAUACGACCUACGGGUGAAAGCAGGGGAGCUUCGGGCCUUGCGCGAUUGAAUGAGCCGAUGUCGGAUUAGCUAGGUGGCGGGGUAAAGGCCCACCAAGGCGACGAUCCGUAGCUGGUCUGAGAGGAUGAUCAGCCACACUGGAACGGGGACACGGUCCAGACUCCUACGGGAGGCAGCAGUGGGGAAUAUUGGACAAUGGGCGCAAGCCUGAUCCAGCCAUACCGCGUGGGUGAAGAAGGCCUUCGGGUUGUAAAGCCCUUUUGUUGGGAAAGAAAUCCAGCUGGCUAAUACCCGGUUGGGAUGACGGUACCCAAAGAAUAAGCACCGGCUAACUUCGUGCCAGCCGCCGCAGUAA
rnacentral:rRNA from 1 species